rnacentral:ncRNA from 2 species
GUGGAACAUCAAGAGUUGGGGCGACGCCCAACGCCAACCUGCCUUCCGGGCAAGGUGGCACUCCCUUCACGGGAGGAUGUGGCCGAACCGGCAAUUAAACGGAUCAUG